GAUGAAGAACGUAGCGAAAUGCGACAAGUAAUGUGGAUUGCAGAAUUCCGUGAAUCAUCGAAUCUUUGAACGCACAUUGCGCCCCUUGGUAUUCCGAGGGGCAUGCCUGUUCGAGCGUCAUUAUAACCCCUCAAGCUCAGCUUGGUGUUGGGGCCUGCUGCACUGGCAGCCCUUAAAAUCAGUGGCGGCGCCAUCUGGCUCUAAGCGUAGUAAUUCUUCUCGCUAUGGAGUCCUGGUGGAUGCUUGCCAUCAACCCCCAAUUUUUCUAUGGUUGACCUCGGAUCAGGUAGGGAUACCCGCUGAACUUAAGCAUAUCAAUAAGCGGAGGA
rnacentral:misc_RNA from 1 species